GACGAACGCUGGCGGCGUGCCUAAUACAUGCAAGUCGAACGCAGUGGGGACGGGUGAGUAACACGUGGGUAACCUCCCAUCAGAGGGGAGAACACUUUGACACCGGUGCUAAACCGAUACUGAUGGAUGGACCCGCGGUGCAUUAGCCAGUUGGUGAGGUAACGGCUCACCAAGGCCACGAUGCAUAGCCGACCUGAUAGGGUGAUCGGCCACACUGGGACUGAGACACGGCCCAGACUCCUACGGGAGGCAGCAGUAGGGAAUCUUCGGCAAUGGACGAAAGUCUGAUCGAGCAACGCCGCGUGUGUGAAGAAGGUUUUCGGAUCGUAAAACUCUGUUGUCAGGGAAGCGGUACCUAACCAGAAAGCCACGGCUAACUACGUGCCAGCAGCCGCGGGAAUUC
rnacentral:rRNA from 1 species